rnacentral:rRNA from 2 species
AGGGCGCACGGUGGAUGCCUUGGCACUAGAAGCCGAUGAAGGACGUGACUAACAACGAAAUGCUUUGGGGAGCUGUAAGUGAGCAAUGAUCCAGAGAUGUCCGAAUGGGGGAACCCGGCAGGUAAUGCCUGUCACUCAUUACUGUUAAGGUAAUGUAGAGGAAGACGCAGUGAACUGAAACAUCUAAGUAGCUGCAGGAAGAGAAAGCAAAAGCGAUUGCCUUAGUAGCGGCGAGCGAAACGGCAAGAGGGCAAACCGAAGAGUUUACUCUUCGGGGUUGUAGGACUGCAACGUGGACUUAAAGAUUAUAGAAGAACUACCUGGGAAGGUAGGCCAAAGAGAGUAAUAGCCUCGUAUUCGAAAUAGUCUUUAUACCUAGCAGUAUCCUGAGUACGGCGAGACACGAGAAAUCUCGUCGGAAUCUGGGAGGACCAUCUCCCAACCCUAAAUACUCUCUAGUGACCGAUAGUGAACCAGUACCGUGAGGGAAAGGUGAAAAGCACCCCGGGAGGGGAGUGAAAUAGAACCUGAAACCGUGUGCCUACAACAAGUUCGAGCCCGUUAAUGGGUGAGAGCGUGCCUUUUGUAGAAUGAACCGGCGAGUUACGAUAUGAUGCGAGGUUAAGUUGAAGAGACGGAGCCGUAGGGAAACCGAGUCUUAAUAGGGCGCAUUAGUAUCAUGUCGUAGACCCGAAACCAUGUGACCUACCCAUGAGCAGGUUGAAGGUGAGGUAAAACUCACUGGAGGACCGAACCAGGGCACGUUGAAAAGUGCUUGGAUGACUUGUGGGUAGCGGAGAAAUUCCAAACGAACUUGGAGAUAGCUGGUUCUCUCCGAAAUAGCUUUAGGGCUAGCGUCGAUGUUAAGUCUCUUGGAGGUAGAGCACUGUUUGGGUGAGGGGUCCAUCCCGGAUUACCAAUCUCAGAUAAACUCCGAAUGCCAAUGAGAUAUAAUCGGCAGUCAGACUGCGAGUGCUAAGAUCCGUAGUCGAAAGGGAAACAGCCCAGACCACCAGCUAAGGUCCCAAAAUAUAUGUUAAGUGGAAAAGGAUGUGGGGUUGCACAGACAACUAGGAUGUUAGCUUAGAAGCAGCUAUUCAUUCAAAGAGUGCGUAAUAGCUCACUAGUCGAGUGACCCUGCGCCGAAAAUGUACCGGGGCUAAAACAUAUUACCGAAGCUGUGGAUACCUUUAUAGGUAUGGUAGGAGAGCGUUCUAUGUGCGAAGAAGGUGUACCGUGAGGAGUGCUGGAGCGCAUAGAAGUGAGAAUGCCGGUAUGAGUAGCGAAAGACAGGUGAGAAUCCUGUCCACCGUAAGACUAAGGUUUCCAGGGGAAGGCUCGUCCGCCCUGGGUUAGUCGGGACCUAAGGAGAGACCGAAAGGUGUAUCCGAUGGACAACAGGUUGAUAUUCCUGUACUAGAGUAUAUAGUGAUGGAGGGACGCAGUAGGCUAACUAAACCAGACGAUUGGAAGUGUCUGGCCAAGCAGUGAGGUGUGAUAUGAGUCAAAUGCUUAUAUCUCUAACAUUGAGCUGUGAUGGGGAGCGAAGUUUAGUAGCGAAGUUAGUGAUGUCACACUGCCGAGAAAAGCUUCUAGCGUUAAUUAUACUCUACCCGUACCGCAAACCGACACAGGUAGUCGAGGCGAGUAGCCUCAGGUGAGCGAGAGAACUCUCGUUAAGGAACUCGGCAAAAUGGCCCCGUAACUUCGGGAGAAGGGGCGCUGACUGAUGGUCAGCCGCAGUGAAUAGGCCCAAGCAACUGUUUAUCAAAAACACAGCUCUCUGCUAAAUCGUAAGAUGAUGUAUAGGGGGUGACGCCUGCCCGGUGCUGGAAGGUUAAGAGGAGUGCUUAGCGUAAGCGAAGGUAUGAAUUGAAGCCCCAGUAAACGGCGGCCGUAACUAUAACGGUCCUAAGGUAGCGAAAUUCCUUGUCGGGUAAGUUCCGACCCGCACGAAAGGCGUAAUGAUUUGGGCACUGUCUCAACGAGAGACUCGGUGAAAUUUUAGUACCUGUGAAGAUGCAGGUUACCCGCGACAGGACGGAAAGACCCCAUGGAGCUUUACUGCAGUUUGAUAUUGAGUAUCUGUACCACAUGUACAGGAUAGGUAGGAGCCUAUGACCUCGGGACGCCAGUUUCGAGUGAGGCGUUGUUGGGAUACUACCCUUGUGUUAUGGCUACUCUAACCCAGAUAGGUUAUCCCUAUCGGAGACAGUGUCUGACGGGCAGUUUGACUGGGGCGGUCGCCUCCUAAAAGGUAACGGAGGCGCCCAAAGGUUCCCUCAGAAUGGUUGGAAAUCAUUCGCAGAGUGUAAAGGUAUAAGGGAGCUUGACUGCGAGAGCUACAACUCGAGCAGGGACGAAAGUCGGGCUUAGUGAUCCGGUGGUUCCGUAUGGAAGGGCCAUCGCUCAACGGAUAAAAGCUACCCUGGGGAUAACAGGCUUAUCUCCCCCAAGAGUUCACAUCGACGGGGAGGUUUGGCACCUCGAUGUCGGCUCGUCGCAUCCUGGGGCUGUAGUCGGUCCCAAGGGUUGGGCUGUUCGCCCAUUAAAGCGGCACGCGAGCUGGGUUCAGAACGUCGUGAGACAGUUCGGUCCCUAUCCGUCGCGGGCGUAGGAAAUUUGAGAGGAUCUGCUCCUAGUACGAGAGGACCAGAGUGGACUUACCGCUGGUGUACCAGUUGUUCUGCCAAGAGCAUCGCUGGGUAGCUAUGUAGGGAAGGGAUAAACGCUGAAAGCAUCUAAGUGUGAAGCCCACCUCAAGAUGAGAUUUCCCAUGAUUUU